AGAGUUUGAUCAUGGCUCAGGAUGAACGCUAGCGGCAGGCCUAAUACAUGCAAGCUGAACGGUAAAUGUUGUAGCAAUACAAUAUCAGAGUAGCGUAAGGGUGCGUAACACGUAUGCAAUUUGCCCAUAACUGAAGAAUAGCUCCCCGAAAGGGGAAUUAAUACUUCAUAAUAUCUCGAGAGGGCAUCUGAUUGAGAUUAAAGCUGAGGCGGUUAUGGAUGAGCAUGCGCCUGAUUAGUUAGUUGGUGAGGUAACGGCUCACCAAGACGAUGAUCAGUAGGGGAACUGAGAGGUUGAUCCCCCACACUGGCACUGAGAUACGGGCCAGACUCCUACGGGAGGCAGCAGUAGGGAAUAUUGGUCAAUGGGUGAGAGCCUGAACCAGCCAUGCCGCGUGCAGGAAGACGGCCUUCUGGGUUGUAAACUGCUUUUUCCAGGGGAUAAAAUACCCGUGCGCGGGGAGUUGAAGGUACCUGGUGAAUAAGCCACGGCUAACUACGUGCCAGCAGCCGCGGUAAUACGUAGGUGGCAAGCGUUGUCCGGAUUUAUUGGGUUUAAAGGGUGCGUAGGCGGCUUUAUAAGUCAGUGGUGAAAGACGACAGCUCAACUGUCGAGGUGCCAUUGAUACUGUAAGGCUAGAGUACUGAUGAGGUAGGCGGAAUGGACGGUAGCGGUGAAAUGCUUAGAUAUCGUCCAGAACACCGAUAGCGAAGGCAGCUUACUAAAGAGUAACUGACGCUGAGGCACGAAAGUGUGGGGAUCAAACAGGAUUAGAUACCCUAGUAGUCC
rnacentral:rRNA from 1 species